GACGAACGCUGGCGGCGUGCUUAACACAUGCAAGUCGAACGCUGAAGCUCAGCUUGCUGGGUGGUUGAGUGGCGAACGGGUGAGUAACACGUGAGUAACCUGCCCUCUUCUUUGGGAUAACGCCCGGAAACGGGUGCUAAUACUGGAUAUUCACUGAUUCUCGCAUGGGGGUUGGUGGAAAGGUUUUUUCUGGUGGGGGAUGGGCUCGCGGCCUAUCAGCUUGUUGGUGGGGUGAUGGCCUACCAAGGUUUUGACGGGUAGCCGGCCUGGGAGGGUGACCGGUCACAUUGGGACUGGGAUACGGCCCAGACUCCUACGGGAGGCAGCAGUGGGGAAUAUUGCACAAUGGGCGGAAGCCGGAUGCAGCGACGCGUCAUGAGGGAUGGAGGCCUUCGGGUUGUAAUCCUCUUUCGCUCAUGAACAAGCCGCAGCUUUGGGUUGUGGUGAGGGUAGUGGGUAAAGAAGCGCCGGCUAACUACGUG
rnacentral:rRNA from 1 species